UGUGUACUGAAGUAGAACUUACUGAAGUAGAACUGCUCACUCAACAAUGAAGGCUGUUCUUAUAACCUUCGUGACUUUACUGUGUAUCUCUACAAUGAUGCUUCCAAACGUAAUCAUGCCGAGACUUUCAGUUGAUGGAUAUCCUUUAAUGACAUUUGGACGAGAGAGCGAUGCCGAAAGAGUAGCCAGAGAUAACGAAUUUUUGAGAUUUGGCGCAAAUAAAGCCUCCACGAGAGAGUAAAACUACGUUUGACAAGAUUAAGGCAAGACACGGCUUGUGUACCCUUUCAAAGUUACUCAUAAAGUAAUAUCUACACCUUUUUGGAAAAAGGAAAAUCAGAAACCAAACUUUAAAUAUACUUUUUAGAUUUUACAAUUAGACAUCCCUAACUUUCAGUUGAACAAAUGUUUUAAAGACUGAUCAAAUAAAAGUACAUCAGUAGCA